UGGCGGCCGCUCUAGAGCUAAUACAUGCAUUGAGCCUGAAGGCCUUUGGCUGACGGGCGCUUUUAUUAGACCAAGACCCAUCGGGUUCUGCCCGUACUCUGUGGUGACUCUGGAUAACUUUGUGCUGAUCGCAUGGCCAUGAGCCGGCGACGUUUCUUUCAAGUGUCUGCCUUAUCAACUUUCGAUGGUAGGUUACUUGCCUACCAUGGUUGUUACGGGUAACGGAGAAUCAGGGUUCGAUUCCGGAGAGGGAGCCUGAGAAACGGCUACCACAUCCAAGGAAGGCAGCAGGCGCGCAAAUUACCCACUCCCGGCACGGGGAGGUAGUGACGAAAAAUAACAAUACGGGACUCUUUUGAGGCCCCGUAAUUGAAAUGAGUACACUCUAAAUCCUUUAACGAGGAUCAAUUGGAGGGCAAGUCUGGUGCCAGCANCCGCGGUAAUUCCAGCUCCAAUAGCGUAUAUUAANNCUGCUGCGGUUAAAAAGCUCGUAGUUGGAUCUCAGUUCCAGACUGAGUAGUGCAUCUACCCGAUGCGACGGCUCGGACUGAACAUCAUGCCGGUCCUCUCUUGGUGCCCUUCAUUGGUGCGUCUCGAGGAGGCCUGCGCUUUUACUUUGAAAAAAUUAGAGUGCUCAACGCAGCGAGUCGCCUGAAUAAACUUGCAUGGAAUAAUAGAACAAGACCCCGUUUCUGUUCUGUUGGUUUUUGGAAUACGGGGUAAUGAUUAAGAGGGACAGACGGGGGCAUUCGUAUUGCGGCGCUAGAGGUGAAAUUCUUGGACCGUCGCAAGACGAACUACUGCGAAAGCAUUUGCCAAGAAUGUUUUCUUUGAUCAAGAACGAAAGUCAGAGGUUCGAAGGCGAUCAGAUACCGCCCUAGUUCUGACCAUAAACGAUGCCAACCAGCGAUCCGCCUGAGUUACUCAAAUGACUCGGCGGGCAGCUUCCGGGAAACCAAAGUAUUUGGGUUCCGGGGGAAGUAUGGUUGCAAAGCUGAAACUUAAAGGAAUUGACNGANNGGCACCACCAGGAGUGGAGCCUGCGCUUAAUUUGACUCAACACGGGAAAACUUACNCGNNNCGGACACUGGGAGGAUUGACAGAUUGAGAGCUCUUUCUUGAUUCGGUGGAUGGUGGUGCAUGGCCGUUCUUAGUUGGUGGAGCGAUUUGUCUGGUUAAUUCCGAUAACGAACGAGACUCUAGCCUAUUAAUAGUGCGGGUUCCCAGCACCUUACAACCUUCUUAGAGGGACAACGCUCCUAGCCGCACGAAACAGAGCAAUAACAGGUCUGUGAUGCCCUUAGAUGUCCGGGGCCGCACGCGCGCUACACUGAAGGAAGCAGCGUGUCUUUAUCCCUGUCUGAAAAGACUGGGUAACCCGUGGAACUUCCUUCGUGAUUGGGAUAGGGGCUUGCAAUUGUUCCCCUUGAACGAGGAAUUC
rnacentral:rRNA from 1 species